rnacentral:lncRNA from 1 species
CCAAAAUAACGACUGUCUGCGGCAGCAUCCACUUGGCACUGGGCUCGACACGAACAGCGAGUCAUGUAUUGACUUAGCGGAGCAGCAUUCAAAUGCCACUUUCACCCACCUACGUUGAGGCUCUCAGGUACUUUAUCCGAUUUUGAGAUAUAUUAAUUAGUAUUGAUUCAAGUUCAUCCCACCGUAGUGUGACCGAUGAAAACAGCGCUGGCGCAGCACAGCUCAUUGAUCAGACGAUGAACAGCAGAUAGCAGACUGCAGCUCCAGCUCGAAAACAUCAUCACAUCCGUUCUUGUGAACUCCUCUCUCGAGUUCGAAGUAUCGGCAUUUUGGAUGGUUCAGCAGGACAGCAGGUUUAGGACAGCCCAAUAGAUGCUGCCCAGGCAAGCGGCAGUGACCCUCCUUCUAGAGCGAAUAGAGAAAGGCCACAGAAUGAAUGGUCUUGCCGAGGCCCAUCUCAUCGGCUAGAAUGGUGUCGAUGGCCUGUCGAGGCUCUUCAGGUACUUUAUCCGAUUUUGAGAUAUUUUAAUUAGUAUUGAUUCAAGUUCAUCCCACCGUAGUGUGAGCGAUGAAAACAGCGCUGGCGCAGCACAGCUCAUUGAUCAGACGAUGAACAUCAGAUAGCAGACUGCAGCUCCAGCUCGAAAACAUCAUCACUUCCGAUCUUGUGAACCAAGUACCAAGCGGAUGCUGCCGCAGACAGUCGUCAUUUUGG